rnacentral:rRNA from 1 species
GUGCCAGCAGCCGCGGUAAUACGGAGGGUGCAAGCGUUAUCCGGAUUCACUGGGUUUAAAGGGUGCGUAGGCGGAUUAGAAAGUCCGUUGUGAAAUCUCUGAGCUUAACUCGGAAAUUGCGGUGGAUACUAUUAGUCUUGAAUACUGUGGAGGUUAGCGGAAUAUGUCAUGUAGCGGUGAAAUGCAUAGAUAUGACAUAGAACACCAAUUGCGGAGGCAGCUGGCUACACAGAUAUUGACGCUGAGGCACGAAAGCGUGGGGAUCAAACAGGAUUAGAUACCCCGGUAGUCC